GGCACUUAGUGGCGAAUGGCGGUUGUUGUUACGUGGGGUGUUUGAGUGUGUGUGUGUUGGCGGUGGUGUAAGAUGGAGUGUUUGAGUCGUGUGCGUGUGUUGGGUAAAGAAAGGCGCGGAGAGCAAUGAGAAAGCGACACAUGGAGAGACGUAAUUAGAUUAAUUAUUAUACUGCAGUUAUUUAUGUAUCCAUGAGAUCCAUACUGAGCGGUAAAACUCGUUUUCAGGAGAGUGCUGCCGCAAAUGUUGUCUUUAAAGAUGUUAUCAGUCAAUUAAUGAGAAGUGUUGUUUAUGACGCACGUGGGAGCAGACCGGAGCACCGGGGGAAAACCCACGCGCCCGCGGGGGGGGGGGCAACGCUCUUAACCCGCCGUACAGAUGGAAACAGAUGGAUAUUCGUCCACUCGCUGUACUGCCGUCUUCUGGCAAGCCCACCCACAGCAGGAACGUGUCUCUCUGGCCAAAAGCUCACCGCUUCCUGACGUGUCGGCACCGCGGAUGUUCACGCGGAGGUCACCCACACGCGGCGCGUUUCUUCCUUACCUGGAGCGUGUCGGUCACCAACUACGCAAACUAAAUUCAACGCAAGUACUACAACCUACGGGGUGGCCCAGAUGUCUUGUGACCCCCAACCCCCCACCCCCCUCCCCCCAUUCAAUUCUCUUAAACGUAAUGUGUUUCUCAGUAAGGUGUCUUUAAAAUAGAAAUUAAUAUGCAAAGGAUUUUUUUAGGAGUCAAUUAAUUGGGGAUCACAAUACAUCUGGACCACUAGCUAGUUUUUCGUUUAUAUUGUAGCUUUCGUGUUGAUUGAUAUUUGCUUUAUCGCUGUACUUUGAUUGAUAUCGUUUUUGUGCCCUUGUCAUGUUGGUGACCCAGGCCUCUCUCGCAAAUGAGAGUCGUCUUGACUUUCUCAGCUGGUUAUACAGAAAUAAACUGCAAGCGGUAUCGUUUGGAUGCUGUUAUUAGCCCACGUGUGCUCUCCCAUCCACGUGUUCAUCUCAGUAUAUAUAUCUCUCUCUCUCGGUGCAAUUCCAAGGACGCGCCUGUCUCCCCGUGCUCAUUUCUACGCCACCGCCGUUCAAUCUUCUUAAGAUUGCGUGCCAUUGUUUCAUUGUGAUCUAGACUAAUAAUGACAAUAUGCCCACAAUUUUUAGGUUAUUUUCAUUUUGCGGUGUCACACGAGGCGGUGUGCAUUAUCCACUGAAUUUCUCCCUGGGGUGUCGUGAUGGGUACAGUACAACAUUCAUAUUCCCAGCCGCCCGACGCGCCUGCACAAUAUUAAUGCGUUUCAUUUAUUUACCGAGGUAAUUGCUUGCUUAUAAUUUAGAUAUUUAUUUGUUUGUGUAUUUUACGUUGUCACCUACGCGGCCCCGGUUUUGUUGUUGUUGUUGUAAACGGAAUUCCAGCGCGGUCCAUCGCGCAAGUCGAUCACCGCGGCCGUGACGGCGCUUCGGGUCAUCGAUUCAUGAUAUCGAUUGUUGAGCCCGUGAUAGAGCUCGGGGAAUCUUGCGCGUGAAACACUCCGUCUCCGUUUUCCCUACAGUCACCCUCCCUUUACCACGCCUUCCCCUCUCCGACACUCAAACCCCGUCCCUUUCCCCCCAUCAGCCAAAUGCUAAUGUACAAUUUAUAAUUCUUGUAAAGCGCUUUGACAAAAGUUCCGUACGAAAUCCGA